AACAAUAAUUUUAUUAACCUUUUCAAAGCAUUCAUACAUACUAAAUGAAGUAUUUAAGAUGAAAAAUUUGAACAAAUAUUCCUAAAACAAAUAAAUAAAUCACUAUAUAAUAGGUAGGUACCUAUAUUUUACAUAUAUAGUUUGAUGUAUUAAGAACAAAUAACAAUAAGUAAUAUCGAUUUACUCUCUGAUAAAUUGGCGAAAUGGUGCUGGAAAUUGUAACUUGUUUAAUUAUUUUUGUAAUGAUUUUCAAUACCUAUUACAUGUUGUAUUUAAAUGUAGGUAUUUUAUUAUAGAAUUAAUUUUUUGUUUAGACAAAUAACCUAUCUCUUUAUUAGUGGAUCAUCAUUCAGUGAACUUUAAAAGAUGCUUUCUUAAAAAAGUUUUAGGUUGAAAAACAGUUAAAUUGGUUGGGGCGACAAAUAAAAAUUGAGUUUUGCAACAACAAGCUAAAUUAGUAAAAAGUAAUUAUGAUUUUGUAUUAUAUUAAAUAUUGGUACUGUUCCG